AACAACAUAUUGGAUGGAAAAAUGGUUGGGAAGGUAGGUGCCCAUUCUGUUCCUAUCUUUAGAAGUUAUUUAUACCUAUGCAAUACCUUCGCUCAGGUUAAAGAAUGGAAUACUAGUCUUGCAUCAAAUGCAUGUAAAAAUCUAGCUUUUAUAUAUUAACUUGUGAUCAGAGCAACUGGGAUGUUGGUUGGAUAUUUUACAUAUCCAUUUGAUGUUUAUCACCAGAAGUUAGUUCUACCUUGGCAGUACCUCUGCUCUACAUACCUCCUCGCUGGUUAAAGAAUGGAAUAUAAAUCUCAUAUCAAGUUGAUGUAAAAAUUUAGUUCAAUAAAUUAAGAAUUUGUAAACGUUAUCAAAAUUUUGAGUGGAGCAAUUGUUUUUCUGGUUUAGCAUGAGUAUGAAUCUGAUAUCAAUUGGAUGUACAAAGAUAGUUUACUACUUAAAGAACCUAUCAGUGAACCAACUGAUUAUAAAACAGUUUUUAAUGGGAAUAAAAACAAAUUUUCAAAAGAUUUCAAUUAGCUAUUUGUAUAUUCAAACACUUUAUUUACUGAGAGAAGAGACUAUAGAUUCAA